rnacentral:rRNA from 1 species
CCUACGGGAGGCAGCAGUAGGGAAUAUUGCACAAUGGGGGAAACCCUGAAGCAGCAACGCCGCGUGGAGGAUGAAGGUUUUCGGAUUGUAAACUGCUGUUGUUAGAGAAGAUAAUGACGGUAUCUAACGAAUAAGCACCGGCUAACUCCGUGCCAGCAGCCGAGGUAAUACGAAGGGUGCAAGCGUUAAUCGGAAUAAAUGGGCGUAAAGAGCUCGGAGGCGGGUUAGCAAGUCAGUUGUGAAAUCCUAGGGCUUAACCAUAGAACUGCAUUUGAAACUGUCAUUCUAGAGUAUGGGAGAGGUAGGUGGAAGUCUUUGUGUAGGGGUAAAAUCCGUAGAGAUCGAGAGGAAUACUCAGUGCGAAGGCGACCUGCUAGAACAUAACUGACGCUGAUGCGCGAAAGCGUGGGGAGCAAACAGGAUUAGAUACCCUUGUAGUC